rnacentral:rRNA from 1 species
UACGUAGGUGGCGAGCGUUGUCCGGAUUUAUUGGGCGUAAAGCGCGCGCAGGUGGUGCGGUAAGUCUGCCGUGAAAUCUCCCGGCUCAACUGGGAGGGGGCGGUGGAGACUGCCGGACUGGGGGGACUCAGAGGCCGGUGGAAUUCCCGGUGUAGUGGUGAAAUGCGUAGAGAUCGGGAGGAACACCAGUGGCGAAGGCGGCCGGCUGGGGGUACCCUGACGCUGAGGCGCGAAAGCGUGGGGAGCGAACCGG